UACGGGGGGGGCCAGCGUUGUUCGGAAUUACUGGGCGUAAAGGGCUCGUAGGCGGCCAACUAAGUCAGACGUGAAAUCCCCAGGCUUAACCUGGGAACUGCGUCUGAUACUGGAUGGCUUGAAUCCGGGAGAGGGAUGCAGAAUUCCAGGUGUAGCGGUGAAAUGCGUAGAUAUCUGGAGGAACACCGGUGGCGAAGGCGGCAUCCUGGACCGGCAUUGACGCUGAGGAGCGAAAGCCAGGGGAGCAAACGGG
rnacentral:rRNA from 1 species